rnacentral:rRNA from 1 species
GAUGAACGCUGGCGGCGUGCCUAAUACAUGCCAGUCGAGCGAACAGACGAGGAGCUUGCUCCUCUGACGUUAGCGGCGGACGGGUGAGUAACACGUGGAUAACCUACCUAUAAGACUGGGAUAACUUCGGGAAACCGGAGCUAAUACCGGAUAAUAUAUUGAACCGCAUGGUUCAAUAGUGAAAGACGGUUUUGCUGUCACUUAUAGAUGGAUCCGCGCCGCAUUAGCUAGUUGGUAAGGUAACGGCUUACCAAGGCAACGAUGCGUAGCCGACCUGAGAGGGUGAUCGGCCACACUGGAACUGAGACACGGUCCAGACUCCUACGGGAGGCAGCAGUAGGGAAUCUUGCGCAAUGGGCGAAAGCUUGACGGAGCAACGCCGCGUGAGUGAUGAAGGUCUUCGGAUCGUAAAACUCUGUUAUUAGGGAGGAACAAAUGUGUAAGUAACUAUGCACGUCUUGACGGUACCUAAUCAGAAAGCCACGGCUAACUACGUG